CAGGGGAUUGCAGUGGCAAAGCUAGGCUAGGUCUUGGAGGCUGGUGUAAGGCGAUGUGGGUGAAGGCAGGAGGCUGAUGGAAAGACUGGGGGGAAGAAAAGCCGAAAUGGAUUCACGGUGCCUUGGAUGAAGGACGAGAGGGGAACUGCAAGCUCCUUCAACUGGUUCUGUCCGGUGAGAAGUGAUCAAGCUUGGGCUGACAAGAGGCUCAGGGAGCCCUCACGUUCUUUCGCUUUUUUACCUGCCAAUCAAACUGCUACAAGACAACACCCUGAUCUGGCAUGGACAUCGCGGGUCCAAGCCUGUAGCCCCAAAUCGGAUAAUCUCUGCAGCUGAUAACAAGCAAAAGAGAAGCCAGGCAACAGCCAUAUUAAAGAAGAAAACAAUCAACUCUGAGUCUCAAUACCUUCACAGAGGUGAAGAAGCAGCAACCAAAUGAAUUAGACAGCAACAUGAUUCCUAGAGAAUGGCAAGACCAAUUCUUCAACUACUUCUUCAGCAUUUCUGAAACAUAUGGAAGAUGGCCCAUUGUGCUCUCUUAAUUCUUUGAUAAUCUGGACAUUGACUUUUCCAUUAUAUGACCUGGGCUUGUGGGCAUCAUGUCAUAAUGCACCUGUUCAGACAUCUCCCUGUACCAAUAUGGAUCACUUGAAGAGACUCCUUUGCCCCCAUCAAAAAGGAUACAGUUGUGUA
rnacentral:lncRNA from 1 species